rnacentral:tRNA from 1 species
GGGAACGUGGCUCAGUGGUAGAGCAUUUGCUUUGCAUGCAUAAGGCCCUGGGUUUGAUUCCUCAGCACCA